GACCCUAUCGGAUUAUGCUGUGUGGUCACCAGGCAGUGCAGUUAGUUGAUUACAAUCCAUAAAGUAAUCACUAACCUCACUACCAGGUGAAGGCUAGUAACAAAACAACAUACACAC
rnacentral:pre_miRNA from 8 species